AUUCUUUUCCUUUGCUGGUGCAACCUUGGCAGCUGUAGAGCGUUCGGACUUGGAGAAAUUGAUCAAAAUUUGCAUAAGAACUGUAACAACAGCCAUGAGAGCAGCUGAAAUUGCAACACCCUUCCAUGACGACAAUAAGGCAGUUGCUUGUAAAAUUUUUAUGGUUCCUAAGAUAAGAAUGCAUGCCCAAGAUGCAACAACCUGAUAUUCAGGAGAAAAAAGAGUUAUUUCAUAUACAAAUAGAACCAAAAUAUACACAAAUUCCAAGGCAGUUGCUUGUAAAAAUUUUAUGGUUCCUAAGAUAAGAAUGCAUGCCCAAGAUGCAACAACCUGAU
rnacentral:lncRNA from 1 species